rnacentral:rRNA from 1 species
UGCAUAUCCAAAAAGCGGAGGAAAAGAAACUAACAAGGAUUCCCCUAGUAGCGGCGAGCGAAGCGGGAAGAGCUCAAAUUUAUAAUCUGGCACCUUCGGUGUCCGAGUUGUAAUCUCUAGAAGUGUUUUCCGCGUUGGACCGCGCAUAAGUCUGUUGGAAUACAGCGGCACAGUGGUGAGACCCCCGUAUGUGGUGCGGANGCCCAGCGCUUUGUGAUACACUUUCGAAGAGUCGAGUUGUUUGGGAAUGCAGCUCAAAUUGGGUGGUAAAUUCCAUCUAAAGCUAAAUAUUGGCGAGAGACCGAUAGCGAACAAGUACCGUGAGGGAAAGAUGAAAAGCACUUUGGAAAGAGAGUUAACAGUACGUGAAAUUGUUGGAAGGGAAACGCUUGAAGUCAGACUUGCUUGCCGGGCAACCGGUUUGCAGGCCAGCAUCAGUUUUCCGGGGUGGAUAAUGGUAGAGAGAAGGUAGCAGUUUCGGCUGUGUUAUAGCUCUCUACUGGAUACACCUUGGGGGACUGAGGAACGCAGUGUGCCUUACGGCGGAGGUUUCGACCUCUUCACACUUAGGAUGCUGGUGGAAUGGCUUUAAACGACCCGUCUUGA